rnacentral:lncRNA from 10 species
AAGCAGGUUCCCCCUAGGCAGAGCGCCAAGAAGCAGCCCAGGCGAUCCCAAGGCGCACAAGUGCUCUCACCAGGCUGCGCGCUGGCGGGUCGGUGCACAGGGACGGGGUCGCCGCCCACGCGCGCUUGGUUCAGGGAGCCCAGGCUGUCCCUACCCGCGGCUACAAAAGCUCGCCGAGUCUUCCUGUCCACCCAAUCGCCCCACAUGUCAGCGGUUGGUCGCCUCGCGGUGCAGUGCUGGGCACGCGAGCCCCUCCCGCAGUCAUUCUCAGCACAAGCACCAGCCUGGAGCCCCGCAGCGACAGAGCUGAGAGCCCCCAAGCCGCAGAGGUCGUGCGGAGCAGAUUUGAUUAAGUGAAACAAAGCCCCAGCUGCUGGAGCAGAGGUUCCACUUGGGUUCCACAGACACCCACAGCCCAAAUCCCUGGAGGCCUAAGGCAAUAGCUAAUUGAGACUAUGCAUCACUAUUAAGGCAUCUUCACUAAAGGGCGCUGUGGAAACGCUGCCUGAGAUGCAGACACCUGUCAGAAGGGGGCUAAAUUUCAAACAAGGAACGUGGUGUUGCAUCACAAUAAAGUAGAUUCUAGUAUUACCUUCCUUUUUCAGAAGAGGAGACCAAUGGGGAGCAUUGGAAUGAUUUGGUUGCAAGCAUACUACACUACUUGUAAACUGCAGACACAGGCUUAAAAAAAGUGAAAAACUAACCAUGCAAUAAAGAAUGGAAUGAACCAUGAAGCUGUUUCUGUGGCCAGUCAUGUUUUUGAAGCAUAUCCCAUGCUAAUUUCUAGAACAGAAGAAACACACGUGUUCUUGUGUGUAAACCCAGUCCAUGGAAGAGACCGUCUGCUUGUCCCUCCUGAUCUCUGGGCCCAGACAACCAGUAGUCACCAUUCCAAGUGAGGGGUGGCUGCAACUCUACAGCCCCGUUCGUCUCUCCUCACUGUCAAAGCUGCUGAGACCCCAGACUCGACACUUGAAAGAAACCCAUGUCUGUGAAGCACUUGUGGACCAUUCAAGAUUGUGGAAGAAUCACUCAAGAGAAGGAGAUAGGUGAUGGGAUCUAGCUUCUGAUGGUUUCUAUUUUAUUGAAUGUCUAAUAGGGCAAGAAUUUGAAAAACGAGAAUGUUUGCCAUGCAGGAGGACCUGGGAAGGAGAUAACACAUUUACAGGGAGAAAGAUUGGGAUUCAGUUGGGAGGAGUAACUGAGGAAAGGGGUCACUCAAAAUAUUUUGUAUUUUAGGUCCUUUUUCUAUUAAGGAGGAAUGGAUUAUCAAAGCCUUAACAUUAAAUUGUAUUGUGUCAGGUGAAUUGCUAUGGUUUGAAUGUGGUGUGUCCCCCUCCCAAACUCACAUUGAAUUUUUUUUUUUUUUUUUGAGACGGAGUCUCGCUCUGUUGCCCAGGCUGGAGUGCAGUGGUGCGAUCUUGGCUCACUACAAGCUCUGCCUCCCGGGUUCAAGAGAUUCUCCUGCCUCAGCCUCCCGAGUAGCUGGGAUUACAGAUGUUCGUCACCACACCUGGCUAAUUUUUGUAUUUUUAAUAGAGAUGGGGUUUCACUAUGUUGGCUAGGCUGGUCUCAAACUCCCGACAUCAGGUGAUCCACCCACCUCGGCCUCCCAAAGUGCUGGGAUUAGAGGAGUGAGCCACUGCACCCAGCCUCACGUUGAGGUUUAAUUGCCAUUGUAACAGUAUAAAGAUGUGGGACCUUUACGAGGUGAUUAGGCAAUGAGGACUCUGCCCUCAUGAAUGGAUUAAUGCUGUUAUCAUGGGAGUGGAUUCCUUAUAAAGGGACACGUUCAGCACCCCCUUGCUCUCUCUCUCACCUUCCGCCAUAUGAUGAUGGGGCACAAAGGCCAUCAUCAGAUGUUGGCCCCUUGUUCUCGAACUUCCCAACCUCCAGAGCAGUAAAAAAAUAAAUCACUGUUCUUUAC